UACGUAGGGUGCAGGCGUUACUCGGAAUUACUGGGCGUAAAGCGUGCGCAGGCGGUUUGCUAAGACAGGUGUGAAAUCCCCGGGCUUAACCUGGGAACUGCGCUUGUAACUAGCAGGCUAGAGUGUGGCAGAGGGGGGUGGAAUUCCAGGUGUAGCAGUGAAAUGCGUAGAUAUCUGGAGGAACACCGGUGGCGAAGGCGGAUCUCUGGGCCAUAACUGACGCUGAGGAGCGAAAGCAUGGGGAGCGAACAGG
rnacentral:rRNA from 1 species